rnacentral:rRNA from 1 species
CUACGGGCGGCACCAGUCGAGAAUCUUCCGCAAUGGGCGCAAGCCUGACGGAGCAAUGCCGCGUGAGGGAUGACGGCCCUAGGGUUGUAAACCUCUGUCAGAAGGGACGAAGAACGUGACGGUACCUUCAGAGGAAGCCAUGGCUAACUACGUGCCAGCAGCCGCGGUAAUACGUAGAUGGCGAGCGUUAUUCGGAUUUACUGGGCGUAAAGGGUCCGUAGGGGGUCUGCCAAGUCUGAUGUGAAAUCCUGCGGCUCAACCGCGGAACUGCAUUGGAAACUGGCGGACUAGAGUGUGCGAGGGGUGAGCGGAAUUCCUGGUGUAGCGGUGGCAUGCGUAGAUAUCAGGAAGAACACCGAUGGCGAAGGCGGCUCACUGGCGCAUCACUGACCCUGAGGGACGAAAGCGUGGGUAGCAAACAGGAUUAGAUACCCGUGUAGUC